GGCCCUCCGGCUGAGCCCUGAUCUCUAUGGUUUCCGCGGCUCGCUAGAAGGAGUGUGGUCCACCGGAGGACUCCCUACAUUCUUCCUCCAUUACCUCACUGCCUCCGGUGGCUGCUGGGAUACCGGAGGACUCGGGUCCCGGCUCGACUCAGUCCUCCAGCCGCCCGGGGAAUACCUCUAGUUCUUCCCGGCCGCCGCCGCCGCCGCCGCCCCGCCGCUUCCUCCUCCGCCUGCCGGCCUCCUUCGCCCCGUCCCGUCCGCGCAGCGCGUCCGGCCCGCCCGCAGGCCAGCUUCUCUCGGGAGCCCCCACCCAGGCGCAUGGCUCCAUGAAGCAAGAGGAGGAGGCAGAGCGCGAGAGGUCCCGUCCGCCCCAGCCGCGUCUGGGCCAGGAUAAAAGCAAAACCAUAUUCCUGCUGCUGUCAGUUAUGAUGCACUGAGAAAACUUCAGAGACCUAAACUUUUUCCAGAGAAGAGAAGCUUUACUGGUGUUCCAGCCCUAAGAAACUUAAAUCCUCAGUGUGACACAACUCAGUCCUUCUACUGCAGCAGCUCUUUUAUAAAAGCCUCCCAAAGCUCCAAGAAGGAACAAAGAAUGUGACCCAGUAAGCUCACACCAUAAAUCUAUAUUGCAGAAACCUUUGUUCAAGAAAACGGCAGAUGCUCUGUUGAAUCCACUGGAGAUUGUUCUGAUACUAAGGACAACAACCAUCUUUCCUGUGAAAAAUUCCCUCUCGUACUUUAGUUCUGUGGAUCCAAAAUUUAUAGCAUUCUUCUACCACCACAGGGGCUCAUAUGACAUUAACAGACAAGACACUUUUCAGAAAGACAG
rnacentral:lncRNA from 10 species